AAAUGUACAGACCAAAAAAAAAUGGCGUCGUAUUGAUUGGGAUCGUACCACAAAAUUGCAAUAAACACAAAAAAAAUCCAAAUUUAUCUUAUGACCUAUGAACCAUCCGAAGGAAAAUUAAUUAAACUCUAAAUCUAUAUGAAAAAACAUCCAAGAAAAACAGUAUAUUUACCAUAAAUUGGCUUUGAAUUUGCGCUUUUUGAGAAGUCGAAUGAUUCAGGAAAAAAACUGCCUGUGAGUGCCGUGGGUGGUGUUUCUGUGUAUUUUUAAGUGAAGUGAUAGUGAUAAGUGACCCAAUAUCCGGAUUUGAGGGUCCUGUUACUCACAGGAAAGCCAGCUACUAUGCGCUGGAUUGGGCUUAGGCUGAUGUAAAAUGGAAAAAAAACCGUCAUGGGAAAAAAGAGAAAUCAAAAAAAUCUAAAAAACGUAGGAUUCGAGAUGGUGUUGCGUGCUCGGUGACCUCUAAACCCCUUGUUGAGUACUCGGAUGUAAGCUCCGAAGAUCUGUCUGGUCCUGAAGCUGGUGAAAUCGAGAGUGGCGAAGAAGGAGCCGGAACAGGCAGUAAUACAGAGGACGGAGAAGUCGCUGAUUUUGGUGAUUUUACCGAGGAGGAGUACACAGCAGAGAUGAGGCGAAAUCAUCAAAGGAGAGCCUACAUGGAGAUGGAGGAGAUGUACUUGGCUAGAGCGUCGACGACUGGUUUGAUGUUGAGUCCUCCAGCAAGGAGACAUAGACUGGACCCAGUGGUAAUGCCCAGAUCUCCCACUCCACCCCUACUAAUAACCUCUCGUGAAAGGCAUCUUUCAGCCUCGGAUUCUUCUAAAUCGAGCGAACUAAGACGCCGGAUUGUUGAGGUUAUAUCCCCCUAUGUGGAGGACUAUGAAAAUGUCGAGAAGAAGAAGAGGAAAAAGAAGGAGAAAAAGCACAAAAAGGAGAAAAAAUCAAAAAAGAAGAAAAAGAAAAGACGCAAGUCUAGCUCGGAUAGUAGCGAUAGCGACGAAGAAGAAUCAAAAGAGAGCAGUCCUAGGACCCCCCCUGCUAAAGAAGAGAGAGAAGUGCAUCCACUGGCCGAAUGGCAGAACCGCGAGGAAGUUAUUGAUCUAUGCACUACACAAGAGUAUUAUGGGGUCGAAGGUGAUGAUAGUCCAGGUUCGAAAAUCGACACUGGUGCUUGUUCUCCUGUCUCUAACGACAGCCAUAUAGCCUCCCCCGAACCUAGCCCCCCUUCCGCGACCCCACCCCCUAGGAUGCCUAGGACCGACUAUUUUCGGGAAUAUCCCCGAGAAAGCCCCCACACACCACCCAUACAUAGUCAUCAUUCUAGCAGGUCAAUAUCAAACCAUCAUAUAACAGUCACAAGAGAGAUAUCGUCGCCUAUAAUUAUCGACGAAUAUAGUAGACACUCUCCUAUCCCUAGAGCUUACACUCCUGAUCCCUCGCAAAUGCACGGUAGCGGCCACCAUAAGCACAGCAGCAGAUCAUUGUCGCCUAACUCUAGGAGACGACGGGAGGCGCAUAGGAAACACCGAAGACAAAAGGAUCGGAUGAGGGACAAGAAAAGGUCUUCUCGGAGUCGCAGUCCCUUGAUGCGAAAGGACUCGCGUUCACGCAGUUAUAGUAGAAAUAGGCAUUAUAGUCCGUCACCAUCUAGAAGUAGGAGUAAGAGACACAAAUCGAGGAGUCCGAGGCGCGAGAGGAGUCCGAGGCACAGGCACCGAAGUCCGUCGCCGCACUCGAUACGACCGUCACAGUUAUCAAAUAAAAUUAGCGAUACUAGUCUAUUUGCCGAACUGAUUAAGGACAAAUAUAAAAGGGAACAAGAACUUAAGAAGCUCGAAGAGAAUUUUAAAACGGAGAGACAGAAUACCGAAACGAUAACGGUAGAAGACGACGUAGACGGCGACCGUAGUGGUAGUAACUCGGAAGUGAACACUAGUUCAGUGCCCAUGGAUAUUGAUAAUAUUCCUAUACCAGAUGCGUCUCCCAAAAAUCAUAAGGCUAGUAAUAACGAAAAAGGUUCAUCAAUAAAUUUGACUGUAUCGGAUAAACAGGCGGCGCCCGCUAAUAUCGACUCUAGGUUGGCCUCUUUCGAUGCUACCCAAGUGAAAACCAACGAUGCAUUAAAAGGAAAACAUAAAAGUGUAACGAUGUUGCCUAUGCCACCGGGAAUGGACGAAACUGAGUUAGAAGCAAUCGAGUCACCUCCAAGCAGAUCGCCGACGCCGCCUCCCAAAAAGGAAAAAACCCCACCGCUUUCCGGUAGAAAAAAUGUGAAGGAUUUGCCAAUGCCUCCUAUUGUUCCGGGUACAGAAGAACUGAGCGGCGACGACGACGACAUACCGUCGACCCCGCCACGUAACGUCCUCAAAAAAGUCGAAAAACCAAAAAAAGAUUUAAACAAAACGCAGAAAGUGGUGAAGCGACCGCGCAUCUUAAAGCGGCGAACUUCGAGAAAUUUCCAAAUGAGCGGCAAAGAUUGGGGAGAGCGUUGCGUCGAUAUGUUCGAGGUUAUUGCGCAGAUAGGAGAAGGAACGUACGGACAAGUUUAUAAAGCCAAAGAUGUGCACGCCAACGAAUUGGUGGCUCUUAAAAAAGUUAGACUCGAAAAUGAAAAAGAAGGAUUUCCGAUUACCGCUGUGAGAGAAAUUAAAAUUCUAAGACAGUUAAAUCAUAAAAAUAUUGUUAAUUUACGAGAAAUCGUCACUGAUAAGCAGGACGCCUUAGAUUUUAGAAAAGAAAAGGGUUCUUUUUACCUGGUGUUCGAGUAUAUGGACCAUGACCUCAUGGGCCUUUUAGAGUCUGGAAUGGUCGAUUUUAAUGAACUGAACAAUGCAUGCAUUAUGAAACAGCUCCUUGAUGGUUUAAACUAUUGCCAUAAGAAGAACUUUCUACACAGAGACAUAAAAUGCAGUAACAUUUUGAUGAACAACAAAGGUGAAGUAAAACUGGCGGAUUUUGGUUUAGCCAGACUAUAUAACGCGGAAGACAGACAACGACCGUACACGAAUAAAGUUAUAACGUUAUGGUACCGACCGCCGGAACUUUUACUAGGUGAGGAACGUUAUGGACCCGCAAUUGACAUAUGGAGCUGCGGAUGCAUCUUAGGGGAACUCUUUUUGAAAAAACCACUGUUCCAAGCAAACACCGAAAUGGCUCAACUGGACCGAAUAUCAAAAAUAUGCGGGACUCCGACGCCGGCGGUAUGGCCGUCUGUUAUAAAACUUCCCCUCUUUCAUGCUUUGAAGCCGAAUAAGCUUCACAGGCGGAAACUUCGCGAAGAUUUUGUCUUUAUGCCGAGUCCCGCUCUCGAUUUGUUGGAUAAAAUGCUCGAGUUGGAUCCGGAUCGGAGAAUAACGGCCGAGGAUGCUUUAAAAAGCCCAUGGUUAAGGAAUAUCGAUCCCGAUCAGAUUCAAGCACCGGAACUACCCACCUGGCAAGAUUGCCACGAGCUCUGGAGCAAAAAGCGUAAAAAACAAAUCCGGGAACAGCAGGAGAGCAUGUUAAACCUGCCGCCGGGCAAACCGGCCGUGCUUCCGUCCCGUCCCGAAAAGGGCGCGGAGAAAAUCGAAGAAAACGAGGGCGGGAACCACAGAUCCUCUCAAACCUAGAAUCUCUCCUAAACGAGUUAAGAUCAAUAUGCAAGAGCAACCCAGGAUCAAUUAACCUACUUUUCCUGCAUUUUGACGAUAGACAAACUGGUGCAUCUCUUAACACUGAAAAAGUUUGCAAGACUCUGUCGGACCUUUUUAAGCAAUUCGGACUUCAGAAUGGGUCGGCGGGUGUUAGACAACUUGCAAAGAAGAACUAUGGUUAAAUACGUUUAUUUUUUU
rnacentral:misc_RNA from 1 species